CCCAACAUCAUCGGCUUCAAGGGUGUGUGCACCCAGGCUCCGUGCUACUGUAUCUUAAUGGAGUAUUGUUCCCAGGGCCAACUCUAUGAGGUUCUGAGGGCCGGACGGAAGGUGACCCCCAGACUGCUGGUGGACUGGGCCUCAGGGAUCGCCUCUGGGAUGAACUACCUGCACCUCCACAAGAUCAUACACAGAGACCUCAAGUCACCCAAUGUGCUGGUGACCCAACAAGACACCGUGAAGAUCAGUGACUUCGGGACGUCCAAGGAGCUCAG